rnacentral:lncRNA from 1 species
UAUGAUCAUAGCCAGGACGCUUCUCACGAGAGACAUAUACCAGCAACGGAAGCCGAAUAUCAACUUCUGUUAAAUCAAUUAGACCAUCAUCAGUAGAGGUUCCAUGUAAGGGUUCAUCACUUGGAGGUUUGAUUAGACCAUCAUCAGCAGAGGUUCCAUGUAAGGGUUCAUCACUUGGAGGUUUUAACAUAACCUGUAUUUUCCCAAAAAACCUAACAAUGUUAAACAAAAUCUAUUACUUCAAGAAACUAACAUACAAGCCAUUGUCAGCUGACAAUUAAUAAAAUAGCAAAAUAAAUGUACAGUUGGCAAGAUGAAAAGCCGCUAAACACAAUUAAUAAUAAUCACGGUGAAGAAGGUAACUAUAAGUUUCUAUCCUUUUUUUCCUAAUCCUUGGAGGGAGGAUCAAGGAGCAGAUUCAGCUGGAGUGAUCAUAUGCAUCAGUAGUGAAUCAAACAAUUAUUCCCUGAUCAAUAAAUAACUAUGGAAGCAACAAAUUAAUAUGAAG